UUUGCCCCCCGGCCGCCCCGGUUCCUCCGGAAGUCCAAGUCCUCUCCAGCUUCUCCUGCCGACCUGACGAAGAAGAGGCGGAGCUUCUGUGCCUCGUUUCCGGUUUCUGGCCCCCUUCGGUGGAAAUCGAUUGGUUGAUGGACGGGGAGGAAGGUCACGUGACCUCCCGGAGGACCCCCCCCCGAAAGGAUCCGGGGUCGUUGACCUACUCGGCCACCAGUUGGGCCAACGUGAGCCGGGAGGAGUGGGGGGAGGGGAGGAGCUUCAGCUGCCGGGUCCGACAUCCGGCCAGCGGCGCCGAGGUCCAAGGACACACCCGGUUCUGCUCAG